CCUACGGGAGGCAGCAGUGGGGAAUUUUGGACAAUGGGCGCAAGCCUGAUCCAGCCAUGCCGCGUGUGGGAAGAAGGCCUUCGGGUUGUAAACCACUUUUGUCAGGGAAGAAACGGUCUGAACUAAUACUUUGGACUAAUGACGGUACCUGAAGAAUAAGCACCGGCUAACUACGUGCCAGCAGCCGCGGUAAUACGUAGGGUGCAAGCGUUAAUCGGAAUUACUGGGCGUAAAGCGUGCGCAGGCGGCUUUGCAAGACAGAUGUGAAAUCCCCGGGCUCAACCUGGGAACUGCAUUUGUGACUGCAUGGCUAGAGUACGGUAGAGGGGGAUGGAAUUCCGCGUGUAGCAGUGAAAUGCGUAGAUAUGCGGAGGAACACCGAUGGCGAAGGCAAUCCCCUGGACCUGUACUGACGCUCAUGCACGAAAGCGUGGGGAGCAAACAGGAUUAGAUACCCUGGUAGUCCACGCCCUAAACGAUGUCAACUGGUUGUUGGGAGGGUUUCUUCUCAGUAACGAAGCUAACGCGUGAAGUUGACCGCCUGGGGAGUACGGCCGCAAGGUUGAAACUCAAAGGAAAUUGACGGNNGNGAGNGCGAGACGACACGAGGAGGAGG
rnacentral:rRNA from 1 species